ACCUGCAAAUUCCUUUCAUUAAUACUCAAACCCAUGCAAUCUUCCAUGUGUCUUCUAUGGAAGAUUUUUCUCUGUAUCUUCCAUGCAACAUUCCAUCUGUCCAACAUGCACUUCUUAAGGGUAUCCAUGUUUCUCUAUAAAUACCACCAAUUUACUCAUCUACCUAUCAUCAACAAAUCAACAAAUUUCUCUUGACACAAAAAUGGCUAUAUGCAGGCCAUGUUUCUCUAUAAAUCCUCCAUAAAAAAUUCAUCUAUAUUUUCAUGUAUCUUCUUCACCAGAGAACAAAAAUCCCUACAUCUCUUCAUCUCACGUUUUUUUCUCUAAUAUAUGGUAUGGAAUUAAAACCUUUCUCCCUCAAUCCUUGAUGGAUUGCAACCACACCCAAGCAAUUUCUUUCCCCUCUCAGUUACAUUUUUCAUAUUAUUUUCAAAGCUAUGAAUUUGAUUUAUGGUGGAAGAUGCUAAAUAUAUGUUAUAGACAUUUUUGUGUUGAUGGAAGUAGAGGAGUGGAAGUAGACAUUUUUGUUGCAUCUAAGUUGAUAGGAGUUUGGUACUCUCUAAACUGAAAGAUUUAUAAUCUCUGCUGCCCACAUCUUUAUUUAUCACAACUCAAAGGAACAAAUUUUUCUCAUGUUAGUUGGUAGUUGUGUAUAAAACACGAGUAAAGAAGAAGUUUUUGAAGAUACAGAUACUUCCAUCAUAUUCUCCAUGUUUGUUUUACUUUUAUGUUUUCUUUUUCAUUCAUCUUACGCAACUAUUAUGAUUUUUUUU